rnacentral:rRNA from 1 species
UACAGAGGUCUCAAGCGUUGUUCGGAUUCAUUGGGCGUAAAGGGUGCGUAGGUGGCGCCGUAAGUCGGGUGUGAAAUUUCGGAGCUUAACUCCGAAACUGCAUUCGAUACUGCGGUGCUUGAGGACUGGAGAGGAGACUGGAAUUCAUGGUGUAGCAGUGAAAUGCGUAGAGAUCAUGAGGAAGACCAGUGGCGAAGGCGGCACUCUGGGCUGGUACUGACGCUGAGGAGCGAAAGCGUGGGUAGCAAACAGG